AAUUAGGAGCUGGAAUGAAUGGUUUGAUGAAAAAUUAACUGUCUCAAUUUAAUUGUUAUAGAAUUUUAUUUUUGAGUGAAAAAGCUUAAAUUUUUUAGGAAGACGAGAAGACCCUAUAGAGUUUUAUUUAUUGGAAAUUGUUAAUUUUAUGGUUUAAGUAUUUUUAAUUUUUUAAUAAAUUUUGUUGGGGUGAUGGGAAAAUUUUGCUAACUUUUUCUAAUUUUUACACUAAUUGGUGAAUUUAUGAUCCUUUUUUAGAUUAUAAGAUUAAAUUACCUUAGGGAUAACAGCGUGAUUUUUUUUGAAAGUUCUUAUUGAUAAAAAAGUUUG
rnacentral:rRNA from 1 species